rnacentral:rRNA from 1 species
AUUGAACGCUGGCGGAAUGCUUUACAUAUGCAAGUCGAACGGCAGCACGGGGCAACUUGGUGGCGAGUGGCGAACGGGUGAGUAAUACAUCGGAACGUGCCCAAUCGUGGGGGAUAACGUAGCGAAAGUUACGCUAAUACCGCAUACGAUCUACGGAUGAAAGCGGGGGAUCGCAAGACCUCGCGCGAAUGGAGCGGCCGAUGUCAGAUUAGGUAGUUGGUGGGGUAAAGGCUCACCAAGCCAACGAUCUGUAGCUGGUCUGAGAGGACGACCAGCCACACUGGAACUGAGACACGGUCCAGACUCCUACGGGAGGCAGCAGUGGGGAAUUUGGACAAUGGGCGCAAGCCUGAUCCAGCCAUUCCGCGUGCAGGAUGAAGGCCUUCGGGUUGUAAACUGCUUUGUACGGAACGAAACGGCGAGCUCUAAUACAGUUUGCUAAUGACGGUACCGUAAGAAUAAGCACCGGCUAACUACGUGCCAGCAGCCGCGGUAAAACG